rnacentral:lncRNA from 1 species
UUUAAGAGAAAAAAAAACGUCCGGUUACAAGAUUUUUAAAUGUGGAAGUCGAAAUUGAUACUCAGAACCACCAAAGGGAAUCGAACAAUGUUACAAGAAUCCCUUUAAAUUUUUUUUUUUAAAAAUUGAAGACAGGAAACUGUAGAUCGUCAAAAACCGAGUGUUCGAACCCGAGCCCAAAAACGCAGAAACUCAAAAUGCAGCACAAAUCAGAUUUUCCUAAAAUGCUCUGAUACCAUUGUUGUGUUUAGAAAAAUUCAUUCGUGCAGAAUCACAUUUAAAACCGAACACACAGAAAGCAAAAAUAAGAUGAGGGAACACGAGAUUUUUCGGCCCCAAGGUUCGGCGACCAAAUCUAACGCCUACAUCCCCGUUGAGCAUCCAUCAGGAAUAAGCUCAAAUCCACCAUGAACAGCCCAAAAAUGGGCAAAACAAUCUCAAGAACACACAGUUACAAAACUUCUCAAAAACGAAAGAUCUUCUCACAACAAUAUUGAACUCACACAAGAGUUCAUCUAAAUUCCUAAUUCUCUCUACCAAAAUCACACAAGAUCUAAAGAGAGAACGAAUCAAAAGAGAAGACGAAGGAGCCUCUAAAACUCGAAGCUGCUGGGUUAAAAAACUCUUAACCCUAAUCACCCACUUUCUUUCCUUUUAUAUGAGAGUAACAAUUUAUUGUCAUCCAACGGUCCACUUCUUGCCACUUGUCUUGAAUCCGGAAGAGUUGUUAUUUCAUAACAAAAACGCAUUUCUGUUUUGCACUUAUAACAAACCGGCCCUAGUUCUGGAAGUUUCUUCACAAUGGAUCAUCAAUUGCCCACCAAGUUUGGGCCACACUUCACAGUCCAUUUAAAUCGGCUGGGCCAUACACAAAAUCCAGCAAAUCAAUUCUUACCGAUACUAUCACAAGAAUGAAGAAUGUUUCUUUAUAUUCAAGAGACUUGAGCAGUGUCAACAAGAUAAAUGAAAUAUUCAAUCGAUGUGUUGAUGUUUGUUGUGAAAUCGAAGCUACCCUUUACUUCAGUCAUGCCAACCAACUGAAUAUCUUAAUGUGUUGCUAAAACAAUAGAAAUAAAGACUCAAGAAAAUUUAUGAGAAUUGCCUUGUCCAUAUCUAUUUCUAUCUAGAAUCACCAGGACAAGUAGAUUUUUUCUUGUUAAAGACAAAAAUAUAAAUGAGUACAUUUAUGUUUUUCUAUUAAUGGCUUAAUUUUUGAAUUAGUAUAAAAAUAGACAAAAAUUACGAGUUCAAAACGAAUUCAAGUGGUCAAGUUCGUUGAGUCAAACUUGGCGAUCUAGCCCAUGCGGCUAUGCCUGCAGCCCUUCUUUACAUGAGGGUUGGGUCAGUUCGAAGGUGUUGUCAAGUCUAACUACAUGCGGUUAUAAAGGUAUUGUCAAGUCUUUUUUUUUUUUUUUUUUUCUUUAAAAAAAUAAAUUUACUUUCCUAAUCACAGUAUCAGUUAAGUGUAGAAACAUAGUGCUCCAGGCCAGUUCAUCUUGUUCUGUUUUUCUAUUCUCAGACAAGCCUUCUGGCCAGGAUUUAUCAAUUGCCUUAGCACAUUUUAACUGUAACAUAAGAGCCUUAAUUUUUUGGCGCCAGAGACUAAAGUCUCCUUUGCCAUCCCACAUCUGGACAUCUACCUUAGAAGUCAUGAUGUGUAGUAGUGUGAGCAAUGUGUAUGUACAGAAAUGUACGAACAAGUAGUAUGUUGCAGUAAUGUAAUAGAGGUCAAUUAUUUGAGAGAUUACAGUAUUUAUAUGCAAGGACAAUAUUUAAAAAAAUUGUCAAACACACAAUGGAGUACAAAACAGAUUACUCUUGGACUCAGUAAUCUACCAGAAAAAUUAAUGUGGUACAUAUACCUCCAAGGAAGACUGUCUCUGACAAUCAGUAUCAGCCCUUUCCCUGUACAAUCAAAUUUGAGUAUCAGUUAAUCAAAUAUAUAUCCAAUGAUAUAUAUAUAUAUAUAAAGAAAAAAUUCAUAAGUAUCUCUUCACAUUAACCAGAUACAGAGAAGAAAAAUUAUAAGAUUUCUUGAAUCAAAAAACCCUAGUCCCCUCAGAUUCUAGGGUUCUCUCAAGGACCCCUAGACAAAGGUGGAUUUAGGGAAUAUUCAAAAUAGAAACCCUAAUCUCCUUUAAGAGAAAAAAAAACGUUCGGUUACAAGAUUUUUAAAUGUGGAAGUCGAAAUUGAUACUCAGAACCACCAAAGGGAAUCGAACAAUGUUACAAGAAUCCCUUUAAAUUUUUUUUUUUUAAAAAUUGAAGACAGGAAACUGUAGAUCGUCAAAAACUGAGUGUUCGAACCCGAGCCCAAAAACGCAGAAACUCAAAAUGUAGCACAAAUCAGAUUUUCCUAAAAUGCUCUGAUACCAUUAUUGUGUUUAGAAAAAUUCAUUCGUGAAGAAUCACAUUUAAAACCGAACACACAGAAAGCAAAAAUAAGAUGAGGGAACACGAGAUUUUUCGGCCCCAAGGUCCGGCGACCAAAUCUAACGCCUACAUCCCCGUUGAGCAUCCAUCAGGAAUAAGCUCAAAUCCACCAUGAACAGCCCAAAAAUGGGCAAAACAAUCUCAAGAACACACAGUUACAAAACUUCUCAAAAACGAAAGAUCUUCUCACAACAAUAUUGAACUCACACAAGAGUUCAUCUAAAUUCCUAAUUCUCUCUACCAAAAUCACACAAGAUCUAAAGAGAGAACGAAUCAAAAGAGAAGACGAAGGAGCCUCUAAAACUCGAA